rnacentral:rRNA from 1 species
UGGGGAAUAUUGGACAAUGGGCGCAAGCCUGAUCCAGCAAUGCCGCGUGUGUGAAGAAGGCCUUCGGGUUGUAAAGCACUUUUAUCAGGAGCGAAACGCUGUCGGCUAAUACCCGGCGGAACUGACGGUACCUGAGGAAUAAGCACCGGCUAACUUCGUGCCAGCAGCCGCGGUAAUACGAAGGGUGCAAGCGUUAAUCGGAAUUACUGGGCGUAAAGCGUGCGUAGGCGGUUUCUUAAGUCUGCUGUGAAAUCCCCGGGCUCAACCUGGGAAUGGCAGUGGAUACUGGGAGGCUAGAGUGUGUCAGAGGGUGGUGGAAUUCCCGGUGUAGCGGUGAAAUGCGCAGAGAUCGGGAGGAACAUCAGUGGCGAAGGCGGCCACCUGGGACAACACUGACGCUGAGGCACGAAAGCGUGGGGAGCAAACAGGAUUAGAUACCCUGGUAGUCCACGCCCUAAAACGAUGCGAACUGGAUGUUGGUCUCAACUCGGAGAUCAGUGUCGAAGCUAACGCGUUAAGUUCGCCGCCUGGGGAGUACGGUCGCAAGACUGAAACUUAAAUGAAUUGACGGGGUCAUAGCUGUUUCCUG